rnacentral:misc_RNA from 1 species
GAUGAAGAACGCAGCAAAAUGCGAUAAGUAAUGUGAAUUGCAGAAUUCAGUGAAUCAUCGAAUCUUUGAACGCACAUGGCGCCUUCCAGUAUCCUGGGAGGCAUGCCUGUCCGAGCGUCGUUUCAACCCUCGAGCCCCCGUGGCCCGGCGUUGGGGAUCUGCCCAGGCAGUCCCCGAAAACCAGUGGCGGACCCGUUACAGGCCCUUCCCUUGCGUAGUAGCAUUCGCCUCGCAUCGGGAGCCGGCGGGCUUCCAGCCUCUAAACCCCCAUCAAGUCCGCCCCGGCGGCACCAAGGUUGACCUCGGAUCAGGUAGGAAUACCCGCUGAACUUAAGCAUAUCAAUAAGCGGAGGA